rnacentral:lncRNA from 1 species
GCCACUUGGCCAGGCUACAUUGGACAGAUAUUUAGUCCAACAUACUGGAUGUUUCUGUGAAGGUGGUUUUGGGAUAGGAUUUGUUAGGAGUGCUAGGGAAAGAAACACAGUUUUGGAGCAGUGAGAUCUCAAGCAAGAUUUAUUGACCAGCAGGGUGGCCAGGAGCACUGAACAAGAGGAACUCAGAGCGCCCCACACCCCCCCACCCCGCCUUUGGGAGAGAAUCAGGUUUUAUAGGCAGGGGGUCAUGUGCUGAGUUCUAAGGGUCUGGGAUAGUGGUUGAGAUCAUGGUAUAAAAUUUAACUUUCUCCUUGGGGAUGUCAUUGCCCUUGGGAAGUCAACCCUUCAUGGGCUUGGUUAUUUCGCCUUUGCAGGUCUGAUAAAGUGGAGACUGCAGGUCUAGGUCUGGGUGGGUCAACGAGUCAUGCAGACUCAUUCUUUUUUAGACCUUCCUUUGAGUUUACACUUAAGAAGAUUAACAUCUAAGUGGGUGGGCUCUAAGUAAGGCAGAGGACUCUCACUAAUGAACAUGGGGUUCUUCCAAUCAGGUGAUGACCCGAGUAGGACAAAGACUGACCUUCACCCAGCAAGAAAGCAUCUGACAGCUGAUGGCCCAGGGAUGAGAGCUGCAGCUCUUCCCUGGGUCUUCAGCAGACUGUCCUGCAGAUUUUGGAGUUGAAUCUCCACAAUCCCAUGAGCUAAGUCCUCAAAUCUCCAAAUAUAUAUAUAUGAGUAUAUGUAUAUAUGUGUCUAUACAUAUAUGUAUGUAUAUGUAUUUGUGAAUCUAUACAUGUGCACAGACACACUCAUACACAUGUUUUGUUGGUUCUGCUUCACAGAGUUCUCUGGAAUAACCAACAGAGGAGAAAUAUUCUUUUUAAUUUAGGAUUUCUAUUUUUCUGAGCUUUUUAAAGGAUAGUUUCUGUUUUGCAUAAAAAUCAGGUUUUGUUUUUGAAAACUUCACUAAGCACUAGUAAGAUUUAGGAGAGUGCAACAGAGGCCCCAGGGAGUUUUCAGUGAUUGAGACAAAAAAAGCUGAAUUGUGCAGGGCUGGGUGGCUUUCUCUGUUUCUGGGACUCUCAUAGGCAGAUGCUGGUGUUCCUGGAGGCCAAGGAGAGAAGCACCCUUUGCAACACAGACCUCCAGGAAGGGUGGUUCUCCCAGGUGGGGACACCAGGAGCCGAUGCCUAGUGCCCACAGCGUGGCAGCCAUGAAGAUGCUCAGGUCUGCUGCAGGCCAUGAUGUUGGUUGCCAGGGCCCAAUGCUGUGAUCUAUAUACCUUUCACCCCUCAGGGCAGUCCUGCUUCCUCAGGGCUCUCCCACCAAUGACCCAGCAUGUCCAAAAUGCUCCUUGCCUCUGGAGUGCUUUUGGGAAGUGGUCACUGCACCAUUCAGGACGCAGGAUGCAGGAGGCUUAGGACAUCAGGCUGAGUCAGGACUGAGGAUGCUCACCACGUUCUAACUCUGGUCCAGGGCACCAGAUCUCCCCACUGGAGAUCACAUUUCCCUCAUUCUAAUCAAUCACUAUUUGGAGGGUGGAUACUGAUUCAUAAUAUUUAACAUUCUGGGUCACCCUUGGGAAGUGGGUAUAGGGGGGAUUUUUCACUGGGUUGGAUAUCACACUGGUGUCCUAUCAAUGUAGCCUGACCAAAUAAAGUUCUAUUUAAUGAAAUUUGGCAUUUUAUUUAUGGAGAGUUUUUGCAACUAUAGCCAUAGGACAGUGUUCUAAAUUGUGAUAAGUAGGAAUGAAUAUAAAACCAAAAUGAUGAGAUACUAUUAAUAAAUACAGCCUAUUGACCCAAGAGGGCUAGAGUUGCAUUUCAGGGUUUUUGAAUGAAACGUAACAAAACCCCAGGGAAACAUGUGGAGAAGGAUCCAAGCAGGCUCAUUCCCGGGUCAUGCAGUUCAUGGUGGGGCCAGGACUGUGCUGGAGCAGGGCUGUGCCUGCAGGGUACAGGUGACCAUGACCUUGGCUCCAACUCUGCAGCCAGGCCAACCUUGAGAAGGGGUUCUCUUCCUGAACUGUAAGCCCCAGUAGCUAAGCUUGGGGUCCAUUAAUGUCCCUUUCAUUCUACUAUUCUAGGCCACAUAAAGACUAUAAACAGAAUUGUGCUGACAAUGUGGGUCAUUUUUCUAGGACACAAGGACCUCUCUCCAUCCUACUGGCAUGCUAAUGUGGCCCUCAAAGAAAGAGGCACCCCACUAUUAGGAAGUCCCCUCGGUUUCCCACCUACCCCGUGUUUCAUGAAGGGGAAUCCUGGGGUGUUUAGUUGUCUUGUCUAGUCUGUGCUUUCCCUUUCUUUCCUCCUUCUGCUCCUCUCUAUCCAGCCCUCUUCCUUCUUCCUCUUCUUCCUUUUUUGGAUGACCAGCUAGAUGCCUGUCAAUUUGUCAGCACUGUUUAUGCUUUAGAUUAAUAUUCCCCUGCAAGGUGUUCAUGGCAGCCCUUGGGAAGUCAGGGCAGAGGGACUGGUUUCCUGUUGCUUCCUUAGCCUCCAGGCUUGCUUUGCUUGAAGUAGUCUAUAUUCUUUUGCUCUUUGGUGGUAUCUAUUUCACCAUCAUAGUCUUUAUCACAUACUCUCUGGAAUCUAAGUAGUUAAAUUCAGCAGCCAGGAAAGUUUGCUCCCCAGGAGAAAGCCACUAACCUCCAGAGACGUCUUUGAGGGCAUUUUCCCACCAAAUUUUAUAACUGUAAUCUUCCUGGUCUCCAACAGCCUUCUCAAAUACAUGUAUCUCUUUGAAAUAUCUUGACAAGCAGGUUUAGAAAUUACAGAACAACUCUUGUUUAGGCCGUUGGAAAGGGCUGGGCGGAUAGUUGGCUGGUCUUGGGGACUUGACUGAGCCCUUUCCAGUCCCUGGGCUGUGAGCCCGGCUAGCACUGAGCUCAGAGCUCACACCUCCAUGGAUGUGACGGACUCGAUCCAUCCCUAAUGCUUUGUGUCAGGCGUUCCUGCUGCCCUCGAGCCGUUCUUAAUAAUAAGACAAAAGUGAUAUUUUAGGGUAACAGUUAAUAAAUAAUGUGACUUAUCCAAUCACACCUUUCACUAAAAUAUUAUUAUCCUUUGGCAGAUUCAUUACUACAGAGACAUCAGGAUCUGAUGAAACAUUCUCUAAUUCUACCAGUAGUACAUUUUCCAGAGUUGUCUUUCUUUUAAUUUAAUUCUCCCACUCUGAAAGCAUACUGUCCGUUGCAAUUAUCGAAUGAGCAUUUAAUCUUGCAUAACUAAGGCAUUUUAAUCUUUUCUCAUGGAGAGACGAUUAAAAGGUCCUAAUAUUGCUAUGAUAUGGAUACAUUUCAUUCCAACCUAGUGAAUCAAAGUUCCCUUUGUUCUCAUCACUCUAAGUGAAGAGAAAUCAAGUCUCCAGACACUUUGCUGCAUGGUGCAACCGGCUCAGCACAGGGUAUGAGAAAUAAAUAUUUGGGCAGACAGUCUAUUGCAUGGAAAGGUUUCCAGAUCUUCCUCAGGCAGAGGUAAGCCUAGAGGUGGAGACUAGGAAGAGAAGAUUUCAUAGUUGUUAUUGUAGCUUGAUUUAUAGUCUAUUAUAUUUUCCCAAAGCAAUAAAUUUUGGCACUUUAUAAAUGCUGUAUUACUAAGAGAGAUAUUGGAUCACAUUAAAACUGUAAGAGGUGAUUUUUUUUAAUACCGCAACAUUUUUACAUCGAUAGUUUCAAUUUUUAGUUAACAUGUUGGUAUACUAGUAUAAAAUUAAAAAAUAAAAGUUAAUGAAUUUUUAAACUUUUUCAAAAUCAGCACCUUUUCCUGAUUUACAUUUUUAAUGUUCCUUUUCCUUGGCACGCAGCAUGUCUGGUUAAAAGGAUUUUAUACCUUGAAUGUUUGCAGUGUACAUACACCUCAGCCUAUUAUCAACUCUGGUGAAAAUACAUAAGUAUAAAUCCUCAGUGUGUUAUUUUUCUAAGAAAGUAAUUUCCCUGUGACUCUUUUGCCUGGCCUUUAACCACCGACAUGGGUAUAUUUAUUAUAAUUGUACUGGGCACUGUUUUAUGAGAAAGGACAUCACAUUGCAUUACAUAUUUUCAUAAUACCUUGGACGUGGUUGAGAAAUGUCAUAACCUUUUUCUUCAACGUCUGUUUCUUAGCCACAUCCAUCCAUGACCUAAUUCUCCCUUUCAGAAUUGUGGUGUAUAAACGGGUCACGGAUAAACAAGUUUGCAUUUGGGAAGCAAGGCAACUACAAUUUGAUAUUUAUUAUGCAUUAUUCCUUAAGGAUCAUUUCGUGUUUAUUGAAAGUAGGUAAAACAACAAUUAUUUCCAGACUGAGAGUGAUCUGGUAUCAAUGUGAAAUACAUUUUGUGAAAUAAGUCAGGAUUUACCAGUUUCCCUGUGAAAGAAACAUUCAGAUGGCUGAACCAGUCAUUUUAAAGAAUAUAUCUGAACUUUUUAAAAACUCCCUUUUAAAAGAGAACAUGUUUUCUUUCAUUCUUCUAUGCAUGAUACUUUGUUACAUUGUUUCAUGAAGAUUCUUUUAAAAUUACAUAAAAUAUUUAUUAAAUAAAUGUUUAGAUUAUAAGUAAAUGGCAAAACUGGCUUAAGAAACUUGAUGGAUAGCUCCUUCUUUUUUGGAGGGAUAGAAUGAUGACAAUCAGAAAUUCAUAGAAUAUCUAAGAACUUGGAGCCAUACAUAGAUUCAUAAGGGUAUAGAUACACUUUGUUUGCAUAUUGUUUCUUUCUUAUCCAGGAGCUGCUUUGAUUAUUUGGGCUGAGGUGUUGACAGCCUGAGGUGUAGUCCUUGAUUACAUAGGUAAAAGAAUAUACAUUAAGCUGAAUAGAAAGCUGAUAGUAGUGUAGGCUAAGUGCAUUUAAUCAGCUGCUUAUUCAAAUACCCUAUUCAUUAUUUCUCCAAGAGUGAGAUUGGUGUGCGUGUGUAUGUGUGUGUGUGUGAAUGCGUGAGCGUGCAUAUGUAGUGGGCUCGGGAAGGUGAUGCUAUUGGCACAAUUUUUUGGAUGGAUUCUGGGGAAUGAAAGAGAUGAAAGCUCCAUUUACAAAAUGUAAACAGUUAAACAUUUCCAAGGGGACCACAGAGGUUGAAUUAAUAAUAUGGCAUUUCUACAUCAAUAAUGUGAAUUUUCUGAUUAAAAGUGUUAGUACUACAUCAGGGUAAAUCGCCAGCCAUUAUAAUAUCAACAUGUCACUACCAAGCUCUAGUGGUUUAGAAGAGCUUUGCUUGGGUGAAAAUGGCUGGGGGUGGGGGUAGCCAAUGUCUUCUUUAAUUAUACAAGAUUCCCUUAAGAUGAAAUAGGAUAGACUUGUGGUUGCCAAGGGGGAAGGGGAGGGAGUGGGAUGGAUUGGGAGCUUGGGGUUAAUAGACGCAGACUAUUGCCUUUGGAAUGGAUUAGCAAUGAGAUCCUGCUGUAUAGCACUGGGAACUAUGUCUAGUCACUUACAAUGGAGCAUGAUAAUGUGAGAAAAAAGAAUGUAUACAUGUAUGUGUAACUGGGUCAUCAUGCUGUACAAUAUAAAAAAGUAACGUAUUGGAGAAAUUUAAAAAAAUUUUUAAAAAGAUGAAUUAGAAUUGGGAAAGGAGUCAUUUGAGGUUUUUAAUACUGCCUUUUUAAAUGAAAAUUUUUAUUUCAUGAGACUCUUAGCAAAAGUAAAGAAAAUGACAAGGCAAGAAAUAUCUAAAAUGGUGUUUUAAAAAAUCAUCCUUUGACUGAACGGGAUAGUCAUGGAGGAAAUGCAAAUCUCGUUUCGUUAUCUGAGUCAAUCCACAUAAAAAUACAGUUUGGUUCAAACCCACGCAAUAAUUAAGAUAAAGAGAUUUGGAGUCCAGACAGACCUGAAUUCACAUCUCAGCUCAGUGUCUCACUAGUUACAGGACCCCUGCAAAGGUUUUCAAAUUUUCUAGCUCACAGUAUGUCAAAUGAGAAUGGUAAUGAAAUAUUUUCUUCAUACGGUUACUGUGAAAACUGAAGAUAACAUAUGUAAAGUUCUUAGCAAAGUACCUGAUAUAUAAUAAUAAUUCCACACAUGAAACUUAAAAAAAAAUCCCAGGAUGACAAAUGAAUGAAAUACUUAAGAAAAACAAAUAUUUUUGGUAUUUACUAUCUCUUCCAAUUGAGCUGUUGCUUUUUCCCUGGAGUUACAUAGGUAUUUCACUCUCUUAAAAAAAAAAAAAAAAAAAA